GCGCGCCUAUACAUGCAAGUCGAACGAACUCUGGUAUUGAUUGGUGCUUGCAUCAUGAUUUACAUUUGAGUGAGUGGCGAACUGGUGAGUAACACGUGGGAAACCUGCCCAGAAGCGGGGGAUAACACCUGGAAACAGAUGCUAAUACCGCAUAACAACUUGGACCGCAUGGUCCGAGUUUGAAAGAUGGCUUCGGCUAUCACUUUUGGAUGGUCCCGCGGCGUAUUAGCUAGAUGGUGGGGUAACGGCUCACCAUGGCAAUGAUACGUAGCCGACCUGAGAGGGUAAUCGGCCACAUUGGGACUGAGACACGGCCCAAACUCCUACGGGAGGCAGCAGUAGGGAAUCUUCCACAAUGGACGAAAGUCUGAUGGAGCAACGCCGCGUGAGUGAAGAAGGGUUUCGGCUCGUAAAACUCUGUUGUUAAAGAAGAACAUAUCUGAGAGUAACUGUUCAGGUAUUGACGGUAUUUAACCAGAAAGCCACGGCUAACUACGUGCCAGCAGCCGCGGUAAUACGUAGGUGGCAAGCGUUGUCCGGAUUUAUUGGGCGUAAAGCGAGCGCAGGCGGUUUUUUAAGUCUGAUGUGAAAGCCUUCGGCUCAACCGAAGAAGUGCAUCGGAAACUGGGAAACUUGAGUGCAGAAGAGGACAGUGGAACUCCAUGUGUAGCGGUGAAAUGCGUAGAUAUAUGGAAGAACACCAGUGGCGAAGGCGGCUGUCUGGUCUGUAACUGACGCUGAGGCUCGAAAGUAUGGGUAGCAAACAGGAUUAGAUACCCUGGUAGUCCAUACCGUAAACGAUGAAUGCUAAGUGUUGGAGGGUUUCCGCCCUUCAGUGCUGCAGCUAACGCAUUAAGCAUUCCGCCUGGGGAGUACGGCCGCAAGGCUGAAACUCAAAGGAAUUGACGGGGGCCCGCACAAGCGGUGGAGCAUGUGGUUUAAUUCGAAGCUACGCGAAGAACCUUACCAGGUCUUGACAUACUAUGCAAAUCUAAGAGAUUAGACGUUCCCUUCGGGGACAUGGAUACAGGUGGUGCAUGGUUGUCGUCAGCUCGUGUCGUGAGAUGUUGGGUUAAGUCCCGCAACGAGCGCAACCCUUAUUAUCAGUUGCCAGCAUUAAGUUGGGCACUCUGGUGAGACUGCCGGUGACAAACCGGAGGAAGGUGGGGAUGACGUCAAAUCAUCAUGCCCCUUAUGACCUGGGCUACACACGUGCUACAAUGGAUGGUACAACGAGUUGCGAACUCGCGAGAGUAAGCUAAUCUCUUAAAGCCAUUCUCAGUUCGGAUUGUAGGCUGCAACUCGCCUACAUGAAGUCGGAAUCGCUAGUAAUCGCGGAUCAGCAGCC
rnacentral:rRNA from 1 species